UCGAAGCGUAAAAUAAUUAUUAGUAUAAGAUUUGUUAUUCCAAUGCGAUAGAAGAUGUAUAUACUUAUGUGCUUACCCAAAUAGCUGUUAAGUAUUCCUCUCAUAUUACUUGAUCACUUUUUCUUUUACACAGUCCUUAACAAAUUAUAAAUAAAAGAUGUAUACCACUACCUUACUCCUAUCUUUCCAAUGAAUACAUUCUAAUCAAUGUUGACUAUUUUCAAGAACAUGUAAUACUAAGGGUAAGAUGGAAAAGAUUUAAUUAAUUUUAUUUUGAUUUUAUAAACGAACAAGUAAUUUGAGACAUAUAUUUUUGCUAAUGUGACCAAAUAAUAUGGGAUGGAGGGAGUACUUUUGUUUCUUCUUCUUUUUUUCUAAAUCUAUAGGCUACCAUAAUUAUAGUAAAAGAUAUUUUUUUUCAAUGCAAUAGAAGAUGUUCAAAAAAACUGCCAAACUUUGUGUGUAAUUUCAACAAUCUUUUUAACAAAUAUCUAUCAGAUUAAACGGGUUAGAGGGUUUUGGAAAAAAAAUGAUAUUUAAAAAUAUUUGAAUUUAAAUAGAAAGAUAAAACUACUUAAAUUUUGAUUUAAAUUGAAAGAUAAUAUAGUUAAGUUUAGAUAAAAGAAUCUUAGUUGCAAAAGUGGCUUAAUAGAAAGUAUAAUUCAAUUCAAUUGCUGGUUUUUAAUCAGGUCAUAUUUGAUUGAGUAUAAAAUGUGAAUUUGGUUAAAUGAGUUUGAUGAAAUAAAUAGGUAUAUUAUUCAAACAAUUGGCUUCAAUGACAUGGCAUGCCAAAUAGGAGAGAAGGAGACUUUUGAUGUGUUUAGUAUAUUUUGAGGAAAAUAGUGAUAGUUGAAUGACUUCUUGUCCUAAAAGAAACAAAAGUAAUAUUUGGAGACAAUUCUCUAAACUUGGGUGAUCAUUUAGGGAAUUAACUCGCUUCGUGCCGUACUUUCACGAGCAACAUGAUGUUCAAGUCCGAAAUUUAAAGUGAAUUUUGAUUUGUACCGAUAAGGAUUGUGGUUAAGUGGUCCUUAAUCAGAGGUAUGAGGUUUGAGUCCUACUUAGUAUGAAGUCUCCACUGUUAUUGGGGAUGAAAAAUAAAAAAGAAUUUAGAUUUGUUUGUUCGUAGUUGUCAUCCAAUAUUGAUGAUAACAUGUACUUCUUCUGUUUCAAUUCAUAUGACGUAGGCUGAGUGAAUACAAAAUUUCAAGAUUUUUUUUUUUUGAAACUUUUAAUUUUAAAAAUGCUCUAACAUUUGUGUGAUUAUAUGACUCUUAAAACUUCUUAUCUUCAAUAUGGCAUAUAUGCGCAUGAGUAAGAUUUUGUCACUACAAACAAUAGUUAUUUAUAAUUAAAUUAUUUUUAAAACAAAUUAAUAAGAUAAUAACCGGAGAAAUAUAAAUUAGUUCUGUUAUAUCCCGCAUUUCGCGCAUUCGGAUAAUUUAAGAUAAUUGCGGGAAGUUAAAAAGCAAGGCCAUAUUUUUAUUUUGUUUAGCACAUAAGUUGUUUAUGAAAAUUUUGAAGUGGAAACAUUAAGAAAGGACAAGGCUACAUUUUGAUCUUGGUUGGUGCAUAAGUUGUUCAUAAAAAUUUUUGAUGUGAAAAUAUUGAGGAAGGUGAAGGGCAAAAUUGAAAUUGUGAAAAAUAGUUCCAUGAAUUAUAAGAACUAGCCAUGAAAUAAUUGGGCUUGAAUUUUUUUUUUUAAAAAGGGGGCCCAACCGGCCAUAGGCAUGGGCCAAGCCCAUGUGGAAAUUAAAUUUAAGUCAUAAAAGAGAGAGAAGGGUCAUUAUUUGUCAAGAAUAUUCAAGAAAGGAAGAAGACUUGAGAGAAAUUAAGGGGGCAUGUGCUAUGCACAUGGGUGUGUGCCAUGCACAUGACCUUUUAAUAUAUAGGGCACAUGGAAGAAUUUAUUCUUCAUAUGCUCAUUUGGAAGAUUCAAGAAACUAAAGAGGAAAAAAAAUGAAGAGGGGAGAGAACAAGAGGCCUAUUCGGCCAUGGCUAUGGAAAAAUAGCCAUUGGAAAUCUUGUUCUAAAAAUUAUUUUCUUCAUGUAUUCCUACUAAUUCAAGGGUCCUCUACAACGUGGUGUAGUUGUUUUGGAAGAUAGAUCGCUCGUUUUAUCGAUUUCGCACCCUAGUCAAGUGAAGGAGUUAAGAAGAAAAAUUUAGGAGGAAACGGGAUUUGAGUUUGGACAAGCGUAAAAGGCAAAUAAGGUACACCCAGAUGAUGUGAAGUUAUUAUAGAGGAUGUUCCAGCAGAGUUGGCAAGCUCCAUUUGCUCCUGGAGCGCUGCCGAGUCAGAGUUUGUAUGCAUGCUUUCUGGAUUGAUGUUAGAGACUUUGCAGACAGAGUCGUGGGUAUAGUAUGUCAGUGGUGUAAGCGGCUCCAUCAGCCGAUAUGUCAUUCUGUAUUAUAUGUUAAAUUCUAUAUGAUCACAAAUUCUGUUUGAUUUGGAAAGCUUCGAAAAAGAAUAUUUUUGAGAGCAUACGGUGUAUUUUAUUUUUAUUUGAUUUAAAAGCCUAAUAAGAUUUUGUAUGUCCUAAAGGUCUGUGGGUUCU